rnacentral:lncRNA from 1 species
ACCAAAGCAGUGAAAUAUACCCUAAUUUACUGCAGUCUGUUCCCAGGCUAGGGGUCCAAUCGGAGCUGUAGCUGCCAGCCUACGCCAGAGCCACAGCAACGCGGGAUCCGAGCCGCGUCUGCAACCUACACCACAGCUCGCAGCAACGCCGGAUUGUUAACCCACUGAGCAAGGGCAGGGACCGAACCCCCAACCUCAUGGUUCCUAGUCGGAUUCGUUAACCACUGCGCCACGACUGGAACUCCUGCUGUCAUUUCUUGCUGGGUAUGUGCACCUGUCUCUUCCUGGUCCAGCCUCCUCAUAGAAGCCAGAGCCCUCCUGACACACAGGUUAGGUGAUGUGCAGUAUAAAUAUUUCACAAUAUUUAUUCUCAUGGAAUAAAACUCCUUCUUUAGCAAGGUGCCUGAGUUUUUUGUUUCUGGCCCCUGCUUACCUCUCCAUCCUCUUCUCUCCAGUGCGGUUUUUAGAUUUUUGACAUCCUGAACUUUCUGCCUGGAGUGUCCUUGUGUCACUUCUUUGCCUAAUUCCUUUUCAUCUUUUUUAGCAUAAGGAUAAGUCUUUAUGUAACUGUGUAAUUCUGGCAUGUAUAAGUUUAUGGAAUGUUUGGACAAACGUGGGAAUGAAUAAAUGAAUAAAUAAGUAUAAAGAAAAUGGAUUUCUAAAAAUUGUGGUAAAAUACAUGUAACACAAAAUUUACCAUCUUAACUAUUUUUUAGUGUAGAGUUCAGUGACAUUAAGUACAUUCACAUUUUUCUAUAACCAUCACCACCAUCCAUCUCCAGAAUGUUUUUUUCUUGUGGAAACUGAAACUUAGUACCCAUUAAAUGCUAACUCUUCAUUUCCCCCUCCCCCUAAACCCUGGCAGCUACCAUUCUACUUUGUUUCUACAAGUUUGACUACUCCAGAUUCUUCAUAUGAGUGGAAUUAUACAGUAUUUGCCCUUUUGUGACAGGCUUGUUUCACUUAGCAUAAUGUCCUCAAAUUUCACCCAUUUACAUUGUUGAGUAUGUCAGAAUUUCCUUGCUAUUUAAGGUCGAAUGAUAUUCCGUUGCACGUAUAGACCAUUAUUUUGUUUAUGCUUUCAUGUAUUGUUUGUACAAAGAUGUAAUUUGUAGCAUUGUUUGAAAUAGUAAAAGGUUGUAAGCCAUCUAAAAGUCAUGUGAGCAUUUCUGCUGGACACAGUGGGUUAAGAAACCAUCAGUAGCAGCUCGGAUCACUGCAGAGGCACAAGUUCAAUGCCCGGCCUGGUGCAGUGAGUUAAAGGAUCUGGCGUUGCUGCAGCUGUGGUGGAGGUCACAGCUGUGGCUUGGAUUCAAUCUCUGGCCCAGGAACUUCCAUAGACUGCAGGUGUGGCCAUAAAAGUAAGUAAAUAAAAAUAAAUAAAUAUCCAUGUGUAGGGGAUUAGUGAUGUAAAAUAACCUUACAGUAGAAAACUGUGUAGCAGUGAUAAAGAAUGGGGCUUCCCAUCGUGGCUCAGUGGAAAGAAAUCUGACUCAUAUCCAUGAGGAUGCAGGUUCCAUUCCUGGCCUUGCCUUGCUUAGUGUGUUAAAGGAUCCAUUGUUGUGGUGAGCUGUGGUGUAGGUCGCAGACACGGCUUGGAUCUGGCGUUGCUGUGGCAUAGGCUGGCACCUGCACCACCCUAGCCUGGGAACUUCCAUAUGCCUCGGGUGUGGCCCUAAAAAGGCCAAAAAAAAAAAAAAAA